rnacentral:rRNA from 1 species
AAGCCUGAUGCAGCAACGCCGCGUGAGGGACGACGGCCUUCGGGUUGUAAACCUCUUUUAGCAGGGGAGAAGCGAAAGUGACGGUACCUGCAGAAAAAGCACCGGCUAACUACGUGCCAGCAGCCGCGGUAAUACGUAGGGUGCAAGCGUUGUCCGGAAUUAUUGGGCGUAAAGAGCUCGUAGGCGGUUUGUCGCGUCUGCUGUGAAAUCCCGAGGCUCAACCUCGGGUCUGCAGUGGGUACGGGCAGACUAGAGUGCGGUAGGGGAGAUUGGAAUUCCUGGUGUAGCGGUGGAAUGCGCAGAUAUCAGGAGGAACACCGAUGGCGAAGGCAGAUCUCUGGGCCGCUACUGACGCUGAGGAGCGAAAGGGUGGGGAGCAAACAGGCUUAGAUACCCUGGUAGUCCACCCCGUAAACGUUGGGCGCUAGAUGUGGGGACCAUUCCACGGUUUCCGUGUCGUAGCUAACGCAUUAAGCGCCCCGCCUGGGGAGUACGGCCGCAAGGCUAAAACUCAAAGGAAUUGACGGGGGCCCGCACAAGCGGCGGAGCAUGCGGAUUAAUUCGAUGCAACGCGAAGAACCUUACCAAGGCUUGACAUAUACGAGAACGGGCCAGAAAUGGUCAACUCUUUGGA